GUUGACCUCGGAUCAGGUAGGAAUACCCGCUGAACUUAAGCAUAUCAAUAAGCGGAGGAAAAGAAACCAACAGGGAUUGCCCUAGUAACGGCGAGUGAAGCGGCAACAGCUCAAAUUUGAAAUCUGGCCCCCGGGUCCGAGUUGUAAUUUGUAGAGGAUGCUUUUGGCGAGGUGCCUUCCGAGUUCCCUGGAACGGGACGCCAUAGAGGGUGAGAGCCCCGUCUGGUCGGACACCGAGCCUCUGUAAAGCUCCUUCGACGAGUCGAGUAGUUUGGGAAUGCUGCUCAAAAUGGGAGGUAUAUGUCUUCUAAAGCUAAAUAUUGGCCAGAGACCGAUAGCGCACAAGUAGAGUGAUCGAAAGAUGAAAAGCACUUUGAAAAGAGGGUUAAAAAGUACGUGAAAUUGUUGAAAGGGAAGCGCCUAUGACCAGACUUGGGCCCGGUGAAUCACCCAGCGUUCUCGCUGGUGCACUUCGCCGGGCACAGGCCAGCAUCAGUUUGGCGCGGGGGAGAAAGGCUUCGGGAAUGUGGCUCCCCUGGGAGUGUUAUAGCCCGUUGCGCAAUACCCUGCGCUGGACUGAGGUACGCGCAUUCGCAAGGAUGCUGGCGUAAUGGUCAUCAGCGACCCGUCUUGAAGCACGGACCAAGGAGUCGUCUUCGUAUGCGAGUGUUCGGGUGUCAAACCCCUACGCGUAAUGAAAGUGAACGCAGGUGAGAGCUUCGGCGCAUCAUCGACCGAUCCUGAUGUUCUCGGAUGGAUUUGAGUAAGAGCAUACGGGGCCGGACCCGAAAGAAGGUGAACUAUGCCUGUAUAGGGUGAAGCCAGAGGAAACUCAGGUGGAGGCUCGCAGCGGUUCUGACGUGCGAAUCGAUCGUCAAAUAUGGGCAUGGGGGCGAAAGACUAAUCGAACCUUCUAGUAGCUGGUUUCCGCCGAAGUUUCCCUCAGGAUAGCAGUGUUGAACUCAGUUUUAUGAGGUAAAGCGAA
rnacentral:rRNA from 1 species